rnacentral:rRNA from 1 species
AAGUCGAACGAAGCACUUUAUUCAGAUUCUUUCGGGAUGAUGAAUUUAGCGACUUAGUGGCGGACGGGUGAGUAACGCGUGGGUAACCUGCCUUACACAGGGGGAUAACAGUUAGAAAUGACUGCUAAUACCGCAUAAAACAGCAGCACCGCAUGGUGCAACUGUCAAAGAUUUAUCGGUGUAAGAUGGACCCGCGUCUGAUUAGCCAGUUGGUGGGGUAACGGCCUACCAAAGCGACGAUCAGUAGCCGACCUGAGAGGGUGACCGGCCACAUUGGGACUGAGACACGGCCCAAACUCCUACGGGAGGCAGCAGUGGGGAAUAUUGGACAAUGGGCGAAAGCCUGAUCCAGCGACGCCGCGUGAGCGAUGAAGUAUUUCGGUAUGUAAAGCUCUAUCAGCAGGGAAGAAAAUGACGGUACCUGACUAAGAAGCCCCGGCUAACUACGUGCCAGCAGCCGCGGUAAUACGUAGGGGGCAAGCGUUAUCCGGAUUUACUGGGUGUAAAGGGAGCGUAGACGGAAGUGCAAGUCAGAAGUGAAAGCCCGGGGCUUAACCCCGGGACUGCUUUUGAAACUGUGCAUCUAGAGUGCAGGAGAGGUAAGCGGAAUUCCUAGUGUAGCGGUGAA